AAGUCGAUGUUUAUGGUCAAAGUAGGGAGCAACUUGGUGGAUUUGGUCAAAGUUGAUGGUUUUGGUCAAAGUUGGUAGAAUCUUGUUGGAUUUCUUCAAAGUUGAUGGUUUUGGUCAAAGUAGGGAGAAACUUGCUGGUUUUGGUCAAAGUUGAUGGUUUUGGUCAAAGUAGGGAGAAUCUUGAUGUUUUCGGUCAAAGUUGAUGUUUUUGGUCAAAGUUGGUAGAAACUUGAAGUUUGCGACAAAAGUUGAUGUUUUCGGUCAAAGUUGAUGUUUUUGGUCAAAGUUGGUGGAAACUUGAAGUUUGCGACCAAAGUUGAUGAUUUUGGUCAAAGUUGAUGUUUUUGGUCAAAGUUGGUAGAACUCGAAGUUUGCGACCAAAGUUGAUGUUUUCGGUCAAAGUUGAUGUUUUUGGUCAAAGUAGUGAAAACUUGAAGUUUGCGACCAAAGUUGAUGUUUUCGGUUAAAGUUGAUGUUUUUGGUCAAAGUUGGUAGAAACUUGAAGUUUGCGACCAAAGUUGAUGUUUUCGGUCAAAGUUGAUGUUUUUGGUCAAAGUAAUGGAAGCUUGAAGUUUGCGACCAAAGUUGAUGUUUUUGGUCAAAGAUGAGGUUUUUGGUCAAAGUUGGUGGAAACUUGAAGUUUGCGACCAAAGUUGAUGUUUUCGGUCAAAGUUGAUGUUUUUGGUCAAAGUUGGUAGAAACUCGAAAUUUGCGACCAAAGUUGAUGUUUUCGGUCAAAGUUGAUGUUUUUGGUCAAAGUUGGUAGAAACUUGAAGUUUGCGACCAAAGUUGAUGUUUUCGGCCAAAGAUGAUGUUUUUGGUCAAAGUUGGUAGAAACUUGAAGUUUGCGACCAAAGUUGAUGUUUUCGGUCAAAGUUGAUGUUUUUGGUCAAAGUUGGUAGAAACUUGAAGUUUGCGACCAAAGUUGAUGUUUUCGGUCAAAGUUGAUGUUUUUGGUCAAAGUUAAUAGAAACUUGAAGUUUGCGACCAAAGUUGAUGUUUUCGGUCAAAGUUGAGGUUUUUGGUCAAAGUUGGUGGAAACUUGAAGUUUGCGACCAAAGUUGAUGUUUUCGGUCAAAGUUGAUGUUUUUGGUCAAAGUUGGUAGAAACUCGAAAUUUGCGACCAAAGUUGAUGUUUUCGGUCAAAGUUGAUGUUUUUGGUCAAAGUUGGUAGAAACUUGAAGUUUGCGACCAAAGUUGAUGUUUUCGGCCAAAGAUGAUGUUUUUGGUCAAAGUUGGUAGAAACUUGAAGUUUGCGACCAAAGUUGAUGUUUUCGGUCAAAGUUGAUGUUUUUGGUCAAAGUUGGUAGAAACUUGAAGUUUGCGACCAAAGUUGAUGUUUUCGGUCAAAGUUGAUGUUUUUGGUCAAAGUUGGUGAAAGCUUGAAGUUUGCGACCAAAGUUGAUGUUUUCGGUCAAAGUUGAGGUUUUUGGUCAAAGUUGGUGGAAACUUGAAGUUUGCGACCAAAGUUGAUGUUUUCGGUCAAAGUUGGUGGAAACUUGAAGUUUGCGACCAAAGUUGAUGUUUUCGGUCAAAGUUGAUGUUUUCGGUCAAAGUUGGUAGAAACUUGAAUUUGCGACUAAAGUUGAUGUUUUUGGUCAAAGUUGGUGGAAACUUGAAGUUUGCGACCAAAGUUGAUGUUUUCGGUCAAAGUUGAUGUUUUUGGUCAAAGUUGGUAGAAUCUUGAAGUUUGCGACUUAAGUUGAUGUUUUC